rnacentral:rRNA from 1 species
UACGGAAUGUGCAAACGUUAUUCGGAAUCACUGGGCUUAAAGAGUCCGUAGGCGGCUUGUUAGGUGAGGUGUGAAAUCCCUCGGCCCAGCCGAGGAAUUGCGCUUCAAACCGGCAAGCUAGAGGAGGAUAGAGGUGGGCGGAACUGAUGGUGGAGCGGUGAAAUGCGUUGAUAUCAUCAGGAACACCGGAGGCGAAGGCGGUCCACUGGGUCCUUUCUGACGCUGAGGGACGAAAGCUAGGGGAGCGAACGGG